AGAUAUUGUGUGUUGAGGCGCAAAUAUUCAUGAGAAGCAAACAUUACAAUAUUAUCUUUCGCAACAGGUACAAGCUCGUACUAUUGUGGACGCGACGUGUUAAUCGCUCGUUGCGCAUACCAUUAAAAUUUACAUUGCAGGACCGUUUAGUGCAACAUUGUGUACGCAGGCAUACACUAUAUUCUGACUGACGCAUACCGAUAAAAUCAAGAGGCGAUAUCCAGAUGAAAUUUAUGCAAAUGAUAUUCAAAGAAGCUCAUACCAAUUCGCGAGCAGCGAGAAAUUGCUAGUUCAGAGAAUGGGGAACCUCAUUAGUAUUCUGCAGAACAACAUUGCCAAGUUUACUGUUACAACAUUCUAGUAUCUGCAUCCCUAACGUAGAAUAUAUAUUCCCAGCGUUAAUUAUCACAGUCUGCGGCGGUGCUUGCGGCGACGACGGCGGCGAAGAUGGGGUUGUGGUCAGUUCGCUUUCCUCCAAACUGCUACUGAGAGCGGAU